CAAGUGAGGAGCUUGCAUGCACAUCUGACCCGUUCUUGUGAUCUACACGCAUGCAGCUGCACUGUGGUUGGGGCAAUGCUGUGCAAAAAAAAAAUGUGCCGAAGAAAAGAUCAGCACUGUAAGUGAAACUUUUGAGGCAAUUACCUUGACAAGUCUUCUCUAUUGGAUUAACUAAGGCUGACCCAGACUUCAGCAAAGAGAGAAUGAUGCAUAUACUUGGAUGCUUGACGACAUAUGUGAGCAAGCAGCUCCGUCGUAGUCCAUCAAGAGCGCUGGGAUCGAAGGGAAGUCUAAACGAUCCUGCUCGCUCUGUGUCAUUAGGGCAGGGAGGAGAACCCCAUGAAAGAACUAGCAAAAUCUCCUUGAAGGAGGAGGAAAAGAAAGGCUGAGUAUCGAUCUGUCUGUCCACGGAUAUGAUACUUAAGCCCAGUACUCAGAGUCAGAGAGCCCAGAGAUCCAUAUCUCAAAGACUUUAAUCCAUGCUCCUCUCUAGCUAGAUUGGCCUUCACCCUAACCUCUUGACAACUGCACGAACAGAUCAGGCUAAAAGCCCAGCAGCCAACGUCCUCCUUGAAAUGGCUGGAGAAGUGACCCAGCUGACCUCUGGCUCUGAUCUGAAUCUGAGAUGGGUCUGCUCUGGCUCCUGCUUAAAAUUGCGGUGCAUAUGCUGGGCUGUGUAAUGGCCUGGGGGCCCUCCCCAGCUACAAGAGAACAAAUGAACAAUUCAUCAUCGGCAGCUGUCCGCCAGGCCCAGGUGACUGCAUACAGCCCCCCCUUUGACAAAAAACAUGGGGGGCAGCUUUUAAUCGGACAAACACUAAUUGGAUGGCCUGGAAAGAUUAGAGGAGCCCCCUGGAGCUACUGUUCUCAUCAAUAGAGGCAUCUUCACGCCUGCCUUCAACACAGACCAGAGCAAACCUCGCUCUCCAGACCUCUCAGAGGAGGAGACACCAAAUCAAACCGCAAAUAUGACGCCACAGAGGCCAUGCACCACAUGUGAAAUUAUAUCAAAAUAACUUCAAUAUGGUUUUUAUAUUGCUGCUUUCCAUAAGGUUAAUGGACUUUUCCCAGGUGGUGCUGUUCUCUGGAAUGUUCCCAUUUUUUUUUUUUUUUUUUUGUUAACUGCAUGUGUGUGUAUAUAUAUGUAUAUAUGCUGAAAAAAAAUAUGUAGAAACAAUUUUUGCUCAGCAACUGCUAGUAAAUUUCACAAACAAAAAGAAAAGUAACACAUUAAACUGAAUGUGAAAUUUUAGUGAAAAAGUAGAUUAAAAAUGAAUUAUUUUAAUGUAAUUAUAUAAAUGAAUGUAUUUUCUUGUCAGACAUACUCCAAUAAUCUUUGUUUUAUUUACAUCUUACGGUAAUAACAAUAAUAACUCAUACAUAAUAUUUCUCAAUGAAUAUUCGGUUUCAUUCAGAAAAAUAUAUUAUGACAGCUAAAAGAAUUAUUUUUUUUUUGAUGUUGAAUGAAGCGUGCACCACUCCAAAAAAGGGAAAUUUAAAAUUAAUUUAGGUGAGUGUAUAAACUAUUAUAUCUAAUUUAUUAUUAUUUUUUAUUAUAUAUUUUUAUUUAUGAAUUGUGUAAAUUAAGGUAUUUUCUUGUCAAACAUGCUCCAAUAAUCUGUUUUAUUUACGACUUAUGAUAAUGAUGAUAAUAAUCACUUAUCAUUUUUAUUUUACUUAUUUAUGUAAUUUUAUUGUAUUAUUAUUAUUAUUAUUAUUAUUUUUUAUUUAUUUAUUUAUUUAUUUUUUUGAAUGACACAUGCACCAUACCAGUAAAGGAAAAAUUACAAUUUAUUUCAUGCUUUUAAGUGAGUGUAUAAACUGUUUUUUUAUUUUAUAUUUUAUUUUAUUAAUUGUAUUAACUUUAUUAAUUUUAUUAUUUUUUAUUGUUUUUUUUAAUAUUUUUUUAUUAUUUGUGAAUUAUGUAAAUGCAUGUAUUUUCUUGUCAAACAUGCUCCAAUAAUCAUUGUUUUAUUUAUGACUUAUGAUAUUGAUGAUAAUUAUGAUUUUUUAUUUUAUUUUAUUUUGUUUUAUUUUAUUUUAUUUUUUAUUACCUAAAAUGACACAUACACCACCCCAAGAAAGGGAAAUUUUAAAUUAAUGUCAUGCUUUUAAGUAAGUGUAGAAACUGUUAAUUUAAUUUAAUUUAAUUUAAUUGCACUUUAUUUUAUUUUAUUUGAAUUAAUUG